rnacentral:rRNA from 1 species
AUUGAACGCUAGCGGGAUGCUUUACACAUGCAAGUCGAACGGCAGCGCGGACUUCGGUCUGGCGGCGAGUGGCGAACGGGUGAGUAAUGUAUCGGAACGUGCCCAGUAGCGGGGGAUAACUACGCGAAAGCGUAGCUAAUACCGCAUACGCCCUACGGGGGAAAGCAGGGGAUCGUAAGACCUUGCACUAUUGGAGCGGCCGAUAUCGGAUUAGCUAGUUGGUGAGGUAACGGCUCACCAAGGCGACGAACCGUAGCUGGUUUGCGAGGACGACCAGCCACACUGGGACUGAGACACGGCCCAGACUCCUACGGGAGGCAGCAGUGGGGAAUUUUGGACAAUGGGGGCAACCCUGAUCCAGCCAUCCCGCGUGUGCGAUGAAGGCCUUCGGGUUGUAAAGCACUUUUGGCAGGAAAGAAACGUCGCGGGCUAAUACCCCGUGGAACUGACGGUACCUGCAGAAUAAGCACCGGCUAACUACGUG